GGGGUUGUGGCUCAGCGGCAGAGCACUCGCCUAGCAUGUGAGAGGCACUGGGUUUGAUCCUCAGCACCACA
rnacentral:tRNA from 1 species